GGCGGACGGGUGAGUAACACGUGGGCAACCUGCCUGUAAGACUGGGAUAACUUUCGGGAAACCGGAGCUAAUACCGGAUAAUAUAAAGAACCUCCUGGUUCUUUAUUGAAAGAUGGUUUCGGCUAUCACUUACAGAUGGGCCCGCGGCGCAUUAGCUAGUUGGUGAGGUAAUGGCUCACCAAGGCGACGAUGCGUAGCCGACCUGAGAGGGUGAUCGGCCACACUGGGACUGAGACACGGCCCAGACUCCUACGGGAGGCAGCAGUAGGGAAUCUUCCACAAUGGACGAAAGUCUGAUGGAGCAACGCCGCGUGAGCGAUGAAGGCCUUCGGGUCGUAAAGCUCUGUUGUUAGGGAAGAACAAGUGCGAGAGUAACUGCUCGCACCUUGACGGUACCUAACCAGAAAGCCACGGCUAACUACGUGCCAGCAGCCGCGGUAAUACGUAGGUGGCAAGCGUUGUCCGGAAUUAUUGGGCGUAAAGCGCGCGCAGGUGGUCCUUUAAGUCUGAUGUGAAAGCCCACGGCUCAACCGUGGAGGGUCAUUGGAAA
rnacentral:rRNA from 1 species